rnacentral:pre_miRNA from 1 species
CGGGCCCCGUUCGCAAUCCGCCAACCAGGCCGGGGCCGGUUGGUCUGACAGUAAGAUAAUGCCGGCCGGCCCCGGCCUGGUUGGCGGAUUGCGAACGGA